rnacentral:tRNA from 1 species
AACUGUGUAGUAUAAUGGUUUGCAUACUAUGCUUGUAACUCAAAGGUUGUGGGUUUGAUUCCCAGCUGGGGUC